rnacentral:tRNA from 1 species
AGUAAGAUGACAGAAUGGCAAUGUGUCCCGCUGUAAACGGCAUUUUUGAGAGUUCAAUUCUCUCUCUUACUA